rnacentral:rRNA from 1 species
AGUUUGAGUCCUAGGCUCAGAACGAACGGCUGGCGGCGACGCCUAAUACAUGCAAGUCGAGCGAGAAGUGUAGCAAUACACUUGUAAAGCGGCGAACGGGUGAGGAAUACAUGGGUAAUCUACCAUCGAUGGGGAAUAACCAGCCGAAAGGUUGGCUAAUACCGCGUACGCCUCCGAAUCUUCGGGUACGGAGGGAAAGCCGCACUGUGAGUGCGGCGCUCUUUGAUGAGCUCAUGUCCUAUCAGCUUGUUGGUAGGGUAACGGCCUACCAAGGCUUUGACGGGUAGCUGGUCUGAGAGGACGAUCAGCCACACUGGCACUGCGACACGGGCCAGACUCCUACGGGAGGCAGCAGUAAGGAAUAUUGCGCAAUGGGCGAAAGCCUGACGCAGCGACGCCGCGUGGGGGAUGAAGGUCUUCGGAUUGUAAACCCCUUUCGGGAGGGAAGAUGGAACGAGCAAUCGUUCGGACGGUACCUCCAGAAGCAGCCACGGCCAACUUCGUG